CCUCGGUGCUACCACCCACUCCUGCCGGCGUUUGUGGAGGGAAGUGGCAGCGAGCGAGUUGGGCACGAGAGCGGAAAGGGGUCUGGUGGUCCGCGAUCAUCUCAGAUGCCUGGGCCGGGUGGUCGAGAAGUUGCUCCUAGCCCCCAGGGAGCGAGUGCCCUUUUGCGGACGCCCAAAACGGGCGGUUUCGUUUCUCUUUCAAACCACAGCCAGGCUGGUGCGAUGUUUUGGAAAGGAGUUAAAAACGGCUGACUUUGGGUCAAGGUUAGGGAAACCGCACUACCCGGGGGGGUCAGGCGACAACUGAGCUUCCUCGGGGCUUUACGCAGAGUCUCUCCGUCGACAAGGCAAAAGGGGCUUGCUUGCGGAUUUUAAAACUCUGGCUUCCCAACGGGCAGCGCUCCCUCCAAAUUUUCCCAAGUACACUCGAGUCCCAGCGGGGGGGGGGGGAGUGAGAGGUUGCCCCCACGAAUUAACUGUCCUCCGAAUCCAAACAACUGAUGGAAAAACCCAGCCGGCCUUAGCGUUGGCAGGUAAAUGGAAAGAUGACGUUGCUUUCUUGUAUUGUGGGAAGUAACUUAAAAUUUCCAAUGCCAUGCAUGGAAGUGGUUCAACAAUCAAUAAAGCGGAUGCAGGCAAAUAGCGGGAGAUCACUGGCUCACCUACCCUGUUCUAACUUUCGAAAAUCGGCUACUACAGUCCACUUACCUACCACCCGGAACUGAAGAUCUUGUUCUUCUGCCCUCUGUGGUUUCCGUAAGCAAAGAGAGAGAGAGACACUGAGAGCAGGAACAGAAGCAGGAGGAGUGGGAGAGGGAGAAGCAGGCCCCCCGAUGAGCAGGGAGCCGGAUGCGGGGCUCGAUCCCAGGAUCCUGGGAUCAUGACCUGAGCCAAAGGCAGAUGCUUAACGACUGAGCCACCCAGGAAAGAAGAUGCAAGAAGGAAAUGCUUGAGGAUAAAUCAAAAUCCCAAAAUGUGGACAAACUAAACAGGAUCAGAGAAGAAAAAGUGACAGAAAGAAACUUGGUCUUCCAAUAAUAAUAAUUUACAAAGGACUUUUUGAAAUGGCAAGUUUGUCCAGUAUGUGUAUAAUGAAAUUUGAUUUACCAAAAUUCAAUCCUUAUCUAAGAAUCUACA